rnacentral:rRNA from 1 species
CGAGCCUUUGCGGCGGCUACACAUGCAGUCGAGCGGUAACAGAUCCAGCUUGCUGGAUGCUGACGAGCGGCGGACGGGUGAGUAAUGCAUAGGAAUCUGCCCGAUAGUGGGGGAUAACCUGGGGAAACCCAGGCUAAUACCGCAUACGUCCUACGGGAGAAAGGGGGCUUCGGCUCCCGCUAUCGGAUGAGCCUAUGUCGGAUUAGCUAGUUGGUGAGGUAACGGCUCACCAAGGCGACGAUCCGUAGCUGGUCUGAGAGGAUGAUCAGCCACAUCGGGACUGAGACACGGCCCGAACUCCUACGGGAGGCAGCAGUGGGGAAUAUUGGACAAUGGGGGGAACCCUGAUCCAGCCAUGCCGCGUGUGUGAAGAAGGCCCUCGGGUUGUAAAGCACUUUCAGCGAGGAAGAACGCCUAGCGGUUAAUACCCGCUAGGAAAGACAUCACUCGCAGAAGAAGCACCGGCUAACUCCGUGCCAGCAGCCGCGGUAAUACGGAGGGUGCAAGCGUUAAUCGGAAUUACUGGGCGUAAAGCGCGCGUAGGUGGCUUGAUAAGCCGGUUGUGAAAGCCCCGGGCUCAACCUGGGAACGGCAUCCGGAACUGUCAAGCUAGAGUGCAGGAGAGGAAGGUAGAAUUCCCGGUGUAGCGGUGAAAUGCGUAGAGAUCGGGAGGAAUACCAGUGGCGAAGGCGGCCUUCUGGACUGACACUGACACUGAGGUGCGAAAGCGUGGGUAGCAAACAGGAUUAGAUACCCUGGGUAGUC